rnacentral:sRNA from 1 species
CUGAGGUGUGAAGCAUUCUGUGCCCCAAAAGGGUUCGGAACUUCAUGGGGAAGCACAUCUCACGUCAAACAUUUAGCUCAGCAGUAGAGCAUCUCUUUGGAAUAGAGACGGCGGCGGUGCGAUUCCGCCAAUGUAACCAAGCAAAAGUUCUUCCCCUGCCGAGAAGCAAAAGCGCCUUAAUCCCCGACUGUGGAGCAGAAUCGGGGCCGUCACGAGCCCGCAAGGCGACGGCGGUUUGUAGGCAAGUAGUGCAGCCAUGGGACGGCCAUCCUAACGGCGAAGCGAAAGUCGCAGAGUAGCUUUCGGUAUGACGAGUGGUUCACGUACGAACCAGGCGUUGCACGUACUCGGGGGACCGAGUGGACAAGUCGGGAAUCCAUAAUCCGACGAAAGCGUGUGGUCGUGGCGGUUUAGUCUCUAGCCC